GCCCCUGUAGCUCAGCGGCUAGGGCACCAGCCACAUACACUGGAGCCCGUGGGUUCGAACCCAACCUGGGCCC
rnacentral:tRNA from 1 species